rfam:Lupinus angustifolius cultivar Tanjil contig_45136, whole genome shotgun sequence.
AAACCAUGAUUGGGGCAUUUACUCAGUAGCACCUGAAAACGCUCUCGAGCUUCAUAGAAUGCUUCAUCCACACCUUGCCAGAAGUGGAUAUUUGAAAUUUGGCAU